CGGCGAGUGAAGCGGCAAUAGCUCAAAUUUGAAAGCUGGCCCCUUUGGGGUCCGCGUUGUAAUUUGUAGAGGAUGAUUCGGCGAGGGCUCCCGUCUAAGUCCCCUGGAACGGGGCGUCAUAGAGGGUGAGAAUCCCGUAUGUGAUGGGUUGCCUUAGCCAUGUGAAUCUCCUUCGACGAGUCGAGUUGUUUGGGAAUGCAGCUCUAAAUGGGAGGUAAAUUUCUUCUAAAGCUAAAUACCGGCCAGAGACCGAUAGCGCACAAGUAGAGUGAUCGAAAGAUGAAAAGCACUUUGGAAAGAGAGUUAAAAAGUACGUGAAAUUGUUGAAAGGGAAGCGCUUGCAGCCAGACUUGUCCGCAGUUGCUCAGCCGGUCUCCUGACCGGCGUACUCUUCUGCGGCCAGGCCAGCAUCAGUUCGGGCGGUCGGAUAAAGACCCCAGGAAUGUAGCUCCUCUCGGGGAGUGUUAUAGCCUGGGGUGGAAUGCGGCCAGCCUGGACUGAGGAUCUCGCUUCGGCUAGGAUGCUGGCGUAAUGGCUGUAAGCGGC
rnacentral:rRNA from 1 species